AGCCCCAGAAAAUAUUUGAGGUGUAACCUGCCCAAUGAUUUAUAAUUAUAAUAAAUAAAAUUUAUGAAAAAAAAUUUAAAGGACGCGGUAACCUUGACCGUGAUAAUGUAGCAUAAUCAUUCGCCAUUUAAUUGAUGGAUAGUAUGAAUGGUUGAACGAAUAUUUCACUGUCUUAAAAAGAAAUAAAAAAAAAUUAGGAUAAUAGUAAAGACACUAUUUAAGAUUGUAAGACGAAAAGACCCUAUAGAGCUUAACUAUAAUCUCUUUAUAAAAAAAAAGAAUAAAAUUUUUAAUUAAAGAGAACGGUAGUUUAGUUGGGGCGACUAUCUUCUAAAAAAAACGAAGAUAAGCAAAGUAAAUAAUAAACUUAUUGUAUAAAAAAUAAAUUUAACAAUUAUAAAAAUAGGCUAUAAUGACCCGUUAUUAUUGAAUAAAAGAUAUAACGAUCAAUAAAUAAAAGCUACCUUAGGGAUAACAGGAUAAUUUUAUUCUAGAGACCUUAUCGAAAAUAAAGUUUGUCACCUCUAUGUUGAAUUAAGAUAACCUGGUAAUGCAAAAGUUACCAACGGUAGGUCUGUUCGACCUUUAAAAUCUUA
rnacentral:rRNA from 1 species